rnacentral:rRNA from 1 species
UACAGAGGUGGCGAGCGUUGUUCGGAUUUACUGGGCGUAAAGGGUGCGUAGGUGGCUCUGUGUGUCGGACGUGAAAUCCCACUGCCUAACGGUGGAACUGCGUUCGAAACUGCAGAGCUUGAGUGCAGGAGGGGAGAGCGGAAUACUCGGUGUAGCGGUGAAAUGCGUUGAUAUCGAGUAGAACACCGGUGGCGUAGGCGGCUCUCUGGAAUGCAACUGACACUGAGGCACGAAAGUCGGGGGAG